GAUGAGAUGGCCGAGUUUUAGGUGUUAAAUUGUAAAUUUAAAUACGAGGAUUAAUUCUCUCUCAUCA
rnacentral:tRNA from 1 species